rnacentral:rRNA from 1 species
CCUACGGGAGGCAGCAGUGGGGGAUAUUGGACAAUGGGGGCAACCCUGAUCCAGCGACGCCGCGUGAGUGAAGAAGUAUUUCGGUACGUAAAGCUCUAUCAGCAGGGAAGAAAGAAGACGGUACCUGACUAAGAAGCCCCGGCUAACUACGUGCCAGCAGCCGCGGUAAUACGUAGGGGGCAAGCGUUAUCCGGAAUUACUGGGUGUAAAGGGAGCGUAGACGGUUAAACAAGUCUGAAGUGAAAUGCCGGGGCUCAACCCCGGAGCUGCUUUGGGAACUGUAGAACUGGAGUGUCGGAGGGGUAAGCGGAAUUCCCAGUGUAGCGGUGAAAUGCGUAGAUAUUGGGAGGAACACCGGCGGCGAAGGCGGCUUACUGGACGACAACUGACGUUGAGGCUCGA